AUGAACCCAAUAAGCAUUUUUGCUUAUGAUCUGGAGGUACCCAAAAAAAAUGGUGAUGGGCCUGAGGAUGAGAAAGUUUCCGGUCCAUGGUGCUAUUAUUCAUCAUUAAACAAAAUAAUAAUUAAAAAAAUUGAAAUAAUUAAAGAAGAGAUUAGGGUUACUAAUUCCCUUCGUCCUCUCAAACUCGGCUGCGGCGGCCCAUUUCCUGUAGGAUUCGCCCUCUCUUUUCUUCGAUCCAAGAUUCGUGAUGUUAUUGUCGAGGUUGAGAUGCGAGGUGAUAGAGAUGCUGCAAUGAAUUUUCAAUGA